rnacentral:lncRNA from 1 species
GUCCCGGCUCUGCCCCCGCGGGCGCUGCCACCCCUCUCCUCGGUAGCCCCGACGGCGCGGCCGGAGCGCUGCCGCUCCGCGCACCCACCGAGAUGCGGACCCACUGCCGCGCAGCGGGACCCAGCCCGGUCCCCGGGACGGUCAGUCCCGCCGAGCGGCCGGUGCGCGCCGCUGCGCACCCGCGCAGUGUGUCUGAGCGGUGUUUGCGCCCACAGCAGCGGGCGCUGCGGGGCGAACGCAGGCAGCGCCCGCUUCGCCGCUCCGCGCAGUCUCCUGAGAACAUUUUUUCUGAGUGA